AAUUGUUUAAGUUUCCCCGCCCAAUUUUUCCCCCUUCCUCAAAAACCCAAAUUUCGCCACGUUCCCAGAACCGAAAUCCGAACUGAAUCAACAUCCUUUUAUCCCUCCCUUUUUCUGUCUCACUCUCAAUCUUCCCUACCGCUUCAACUCAGAGGUUGCUUUCACCAUCUGAAUCGUCUGUUGUAGGGUUGAUCCAGCAGUGUUGCUGUUUAGGGCCGGCUUCGGAUGUAAAUGAAGUGAAUCCGUCGUUUGGGGCUCCCAAUUUUUUAGGGUUUUUUGAGUUCUUCAUAACAUUUAUACAGUGAAAGGGAAAAUAAAGCAUCGUUUGGAGAGACUUUUGAUAACCGCAGCCAAGCUACCAAUAAAGCAAAAGGUGGGAUGUAGAGAACAAAGUUAUUAUGGUUCAUCAUUAGUGGUCUCUGUUCAUCGCCUUGAAUCAACUUUAAAGUUCUGCAAAUAUCCAAACGAACCAAGCUUCAUGUUCUGAUUUUCAAAAGUCAAAAAUCCUAUUUUGCAAUAGUCAGCCGUUGAAGUGUGAAGGAGCAUGCUUCAACUCCAAACAAGUCUUAAUCUAGUGGCAGAUAACACUCAACUUGCUGUCAUAUGCAAAAAUCAAAGCAUUUUUUUCUAAACAGGGUUCAAUCUACUUGAAAGCCACUGGCCACUGCCAAUCACAGCUCCUUGACCUUGUGGUUCAUGGGAGUAAGCCACUACCCUUGUCCAUUCGAGCAGCUCUCAAAUCCCUAAUUGAGCAGACCAGAUUAUUCACACCUGGUGAAAAUAGAUUUGAUUACAUUAUUUGUGAGUCUAGCUUGUGGCCUUGGGUGCAACUUUCAUAUGAAAGGUUCUACAUACAUGUGAAGUCAAACGAGGUGAGUUGAUGCUUUUAAAUGGGACAAAUCCCCACUAAGUGCUCAACAAAACUUUUGAGCCAUUUGGUUACAUUUCACAGCAAACAACAGCUGCUGCCUUUGUUCCAUUCUCUGGCCCCUCAUUGCUUCUCUGGCCUCUCAUAAGUUGUUUUGCAGCAGCUACAAGACUAUGCAAAGAAGAUUCAGACGGCAGUGGAGGCCAGCAAGUGCCAUCUUCCGGAUUAAAUACAUCAAGUAUCGGCAAGAUAUCGGCAGGAAUGGUAUGAUAUCUAGACUAGCAAGCCAACAAUGGUUUAGACGUGUUCAGGCAAGAUUACGGCCACUAGAAAAUGGUUCGUGUUAGGGUUUUUCGAUGGCACAUCUCAACAUCUAAUGCAACCAGGCUUAGUACGGUUUGUUGUAAAACAUGAUAUCGCAGCCAAAGCAACAAUUAGCAGGUCAUGCAUGUAUCAAUGGAUGAAACUCCUCACCUAAUUUAAGUGGUAACCAUGAAAGUGAUGUGCCUGGAAGUAGAUCUUUUUAUGACGGUAAUGACUCGGGUGGUGAAUGCGGUGUCACAGCUGAGACAACAUGAGAAGAACGUUUGCAUACAUUUUAUCUUCGAGGUCUUGUAUGUUCUCAACACACUCAUGCAGACAUUUCAAAAUAAAGUGCUUGCUGAUGCUGUCACAAAUUAGAUAAAAUGGGUUAACGAUGUAUUAUGGACCUAUCGUAACAUUUAUAUUUUCAUGGUCAUAUCAAUGGUCAAGAUCCAACUCUUGAUUCUCUUGUUAAGUUGACAAGCCUUUUGAUUAUUCAUGAUUUUACUGCCUUGUAGUUUACAUUUCUUUCAUGUAUUAAUCAAAUUGGCACUUUGUUUCAUGUAUUAAUCAAUGGUGACGUUUGUGACAUUAUGUAUGA